rnacentral:lncRNA from 1 species
GUUCUGUGCUUCAAAGCAUUAUUCCUUCAUCCCUGCACACAAUCUUUCCGCUCUUCCCUUUCUAAUGUCCCGAGCUGACUUCUAUUUGGCCAUCUCCUGCCGGUAAUUCUGCUGUUUCUCUCCUUUCUUUCCUCCUGCUGCUCAUGCCGUGUUUCCACGCCAUCGAGGGCUCCCGAAUUAUUCUGUCGUUCACCAAACUUUCUAUUCGUGAUCUGCCUAUUAUCUCAAGAGACUCUACUAUUGUUGGCUGCACAUUUCUCGUUACAGGUUUUAUACACCUAGCUUCUUCCCAUUUUAUUAUGACAUCCUUAUCAUAUGCCUCACGUGCCAAGGCAGUGUUCAAGUCCGCUCUUAAAA